AAAAGAAAAGCUUUCAGUAGAGCGGAAGGAACUGUGCACCUCAGACUGAAAGCAAGCUAUAUGUUUACAUAAAUCUCCUGUUCUUGAGCCAAAGCUGUGAUUCAAAGGGAGGGUUUGGGCUAGCAGGAGGGAAAACGGAUGCAUCCCUGCUGUGCCUGGUUUCCUCGUCCAGUCAGUGCGCUCCUCCCCAGCCCUGCAGAGCUCCUGGGGCUCCCUGCGUCAGCUGCGCCUUGGGGAGCUGAAAGAGGUUAGCUGUGAGCGGGGCCUAGACACGUGCACUGCUGUGUUUGCUGCUGUUACACGAGGGCUGUCAGCACGGUGAUGGGGAGGCAGUGGAGAAGCUGAAGAGGUGAAGCAAUUUAGGACUCAACCCAAAGGUUAUCCAAGCCAUCAGGAAGCUUCGUGUUGGUUCCUGCAGCCUUCGGCAGAGGCGCAGCUCCCCUCACUGUAACCACAUCUGAGCCACUGCAACAGGCAUUACUUAAUAGCGCUGAGAAGAGAAGCAGAAGAAAAUUUCUUUGAAGUUUUACCUGGACCUGAAGAGGCAGGAGGAGAGAAGACAAAGUGGAAAUACGGGUGAAUGGAGGAGAGCCAUUUGCCACCAUCCAAACAGGUCCAUUUCAACCACUUUCCUGUUGCGUACCUGCUUUUAGCCAGAGCCACUUGGUGCAAGCAGAGGUUAGAGACCUUUGGGGCUAACGCUAAAGGUGAGUUUUGAUUGAAGCGGAAAGAUCUUCGGUUGCAUUAAAAUUUAUCCCUGCAAAGGACAGUGCCUGAGAUUCAUGUGUGUGGGUGCUUUGCUGAAUAGAGGUUCAGAUAUGCUUUUUGUUGAUUUGUGACCAUGGUUUGUAAGGUUGAGCUUGUGCUAUAUCACUGCCUUAAAACCACAUCCGCACGACAGAGCAUCAUCUUUGUAUUCUGACUGCAAAUCUUCAGUGUUAAACUCCACGAACGUUCAGCUGUACCAGACUCUGUGAAGGCCUACGUAAGAAGGAAUAAUGUGGUAUAAAUAAACUCCAUCUGACUUUUUUAUAACGCUUUGUGCAAACUUAACAUGCAAGUCAGGUGUCACAGUAACUGUUGGAAAUAUGUAAUGCUGACAGUAUUUGGUAAUAAAAUAAUAAUCGCU
ensembl:lncRNA